rnacentral:rRNA from 1 species
AGUGAACGCUGGCGGUAGGCCUAACACAUGCAAGUCGAACGGCAGCACAGUAAGAGCUUGCUCUUACGGGUGGCGAGUGGCGGACGGGUGAGGAAUACAUCGAAAUCUACUUUUUCGUGGGGGAUAACGUAGGGAAACUUACGCUAAUACCGCAUACGACCUACGGGUGAAAGCAGGGGAUCUUCGGACCUUGCGCGAUUGAAUGAGCCGAUGUCGGAUUAGCUAGUUGGCGGGGUAAAGGCCCACCAAGGCGACGAUCCGUAGCUGGUCUGAGAGGAUGAUCAGCCACACUGGAACUGAGACACGGUCCAGACUCCUACGGGAGGCAGCAGUGGGGAAUAUUGGACAAUGGGCGCAAGCCUGAUCCAGCCAUACCGCGUGGGUGAAGAAGGCCUUCGGGUUGUAAAGCCCCUUUGUUGGGAAAGAAAGGCAGCAGGUUAAUACCCCGCUGUUCUGACGGUACCCAAAGAAUAAGCACCGGCUAACUUCGUG